rnacentral:rRNA from 1 species
GCAGCCGCCACGGUAAUACGUAGGGGGCAAGCGUUAUCCGGAAUUACUGGGUGUAAAGGGAGCGUAGACGGCUAAACAAGUCUGAAGUGAAAUGCCGGGGCUCAACCCCGGAGCUGCUUUGGGAACUGUAGAACUGGAGUGUCGGAGGGGUAAGCGGAAUUCCCAGUGUAGCGGUGAAAUGCGUAGAUAUUGGGAGGAACACCGGCGGCGAAGGCGGCUUACUGGACGACAACUGACGUUGAGGCUCGAAGGCGUGGGUAGCAAACAGGAUUAGAGACCCGAGUAGUCCCUGUCUCUUAUAC